UACAGAGGUCCCAAGCGUUGUUCGGAUUCACUGGGCGUAAAGGGUGCGUAGGCGGUCGGGUAAGUCUGAUGUGAAAUCUCAGAGCUCAACUCUGAAACUGCAUUGGAUACUAUUCGGCUGGAGAGUUGGAGGGGGGACUGGAAUUCUUGGUGUAGCAGUGAAAUGCGUAGAUAUCAAGAGGAACACCAGUGGCGAAGGCGAGUCCCUGGACAACUUCUGACGCUGAGGCACGAAAGCUAGGGGGAGCAAACAGG
rnacentral:rRNA from 1 species